CCUACGGGAGGCAGUAGUGGGGAAUAUUGGACAAUGGGCGAAAGCCUGAUCCAGCCAUGCCGCGUGUGUGAAGAAGGCCUUCGGGUUGUAAAGCACUUUCAGUGGGGAAGAAAGCCUUGGGGCUAAUACCCUCGAGGAAGGACAUCACCCACAGAAGAAGCACCGGCUAACUCCGUGCCAGCAGCCGCGGUAAUACGGAGGGUGCGAGCAUUAAUCGGAAUUACUGGGCGUAAAGCGCGCGUAGGCGGUCUGAUAAGCCGGUUGUGAAAGCCCCGGGCUCAACCUGGGAACGGCAUCCGGAACUGUCAGGCUAGAGUGCAGGAGAGGAAGGUAGAAUUCCCGGUGUAGCGGUGAAAUGCGUAGAGAUCGGGAGGAAUACCAGUGGCGAAGGCGGCCUUCUGGACUGUCACUGACGCUGAGGUGCGAAAGCGUGGGUAGCAAACAGGAUUAGAUACCCCUGUAGUC
rnacentral:rRNA from 1 species